AUUGAACGCUGGCGGCAGGCCUAACACAUGCAAGUCGAACGGUAACAGGAAACAGCUUGCUGUUUCGCUGACGAGUGGCGGACGGGUGAGUAAUGUCUGGGAAACUGCCUGAUGGAGGGGGAUAACUACUGGAAACGGUAGCUAAUACCGCAUAACGUCGCAAGACCAAAGAGGGGGACCUUCGGGCCUCUUGCCAUCGGAUGUGCCCAGAUGGGAUUAGCUUGUUGGUGGGGUAACGGCUCACCAAGGCGACGAUCCCUAGCUGGUCUGAGAGGAUGACCAGCCACACUGGAACUGAGACACGGUCCAGACUCCUACGGGAGGCAGCAGUGGGGAAUAUUGCACAAUGGGCGCAAGCCUGAUGCAGCCAUACCGCGUGUGUGAAGAAGGCCUUCGGGUUGUAAAGUACUUUCAGCGGGGAGGAAGGGAGUAAAGUUAAUACCUUUGCUCAUUGACGUUACCCGCAGAAGAAGCACCGGCUAACUCCGUGCCAGCAGCCGCGGUAAUACGGAGGGUGCAAGCGUUAAUCGGAAUUACUGGGCG
rnacentral:rRNA from 1 species